UACAGAGGGUGCGAGCGUUGUCCGGAAUCACUGGGCGUAAAGGGCGCGUAGGCGGACAGUUUAGUCAGAGGUGAAAGCCCAGGGCUCAACCUUGGAAUUGCCUUUGAUACUGGCUGUCUUGAGUUCGGGAGAGGUGAGUGGAAUGCCGAGUGUAGAGGUGAAAUUCGUAGAUAUUCGGCGGAACACCAGUGGCGAAGGCGGGUCUCUGGGCCGAUACUGACGCUGAGGAGCGAAAGCGUGGGGGAGCGAACGGG
rnacentral:rRNA from 1 species